GUCCACGCCGUAACGAUGGAUACUAGCUGUUGGAGCGAUCUCAGUGGCUAAGCGAAAGUGAUAAGUAUCCCACCUGGGAGUACGUUCGCAAGAAUGAACUCAAAGGAAUUGACGGGCCCGCACAAGCGGUGGAGCAUGUGGUUUAAUUCGAUGAUACGCGAGGAACCUUACCAAGGCUUAAAUGUAGAUUGACCGGUUUGGAAACAGAUCUUUCGCAAGACAAUUUACAAGGUGCUGCAUGGUUGUCGU
rnacentral:rRNA from 1 species